GACGGGGGGGUCCUAGCGUUGUUCGGAAUCAUUGGGCGUAAAGCGUGUGCAGGCGGUUUUGUAAGUCAGAUGUGAAAGCCCCGGGCUUAACCCGGGAAGUGCAUUUGAAAACUACAAAACUUGAAUAUGGAAGAGGGUCGUGGAAUUCCAGGUGUAGUGGUGAAAUACGUAGAUAUCUGGAGGAACACCGGUGGCGAAGGCGGCGACCUGGUCCAAUAUUGACGCUCAUACACGAAAGUGCGGGGAUCAAACAGG
rnacentral:rRNA from 1 species